rnacentral:lncRNA from 1 species
AUAGAUAGAUAGAUAGGUAGAUAGAUUAUCCUGCCAUGUACAGUAUAAUCCAUACAUGGAUCCAGGAGGCAGAGGCAGGAGGAUAGUGAGUUUGACUCACUCAGUGGUCCUAUAGAAAAAGAGGCUACACACACCUGCCCCAUCCCCAUGUCCACAGCUCAUGUCCUGUGAGGACAACAUUGAUAGCUGUAUUUGCAUACAAACUAGGAUCAAUAGUGAUGACGUAGACAGAAACUGUGGGUCCUACGGUCACAAGUACCUUCCCAGACAUGCUUACACUUGUCCUCAGAAGCCACGAGACAAACAGACACGGCUGAGCCAUACAUUUAAGGAAUCUUUUAAAGCCAAGGACUCCGAGCCUCCCAGCCAGGCUCUGGCCCUCCUGAUGUUGCUGACCUCCUGAGCAGGUAGAGAUAAAGAGUGCUGGGUAAUACAUCAGCCUGAUGGUUUCUUCAGACAGGCUGUCUUCAGGGCUCUAGAAGCCCAUACAGAAUAGAGCAGUUAGGAAGCAAGAUGAAGGCCGCAUGCACAAAGCCCUGGGUUUGAUCCCCAGACCCCCAUGAAUCAGACAUGGUGGUAAACACCUGCAAUCCUAGCAAUCAGGAGGUGAAAACAGGAGGAUUAAAGUGUCCAAGGUCAUCCUUGGCUACAUAAUACAUUCAAGACCAGACACAGCAACACAAGACCCUGCCUCCAGAAAAAAAGCAAUCUAACCCUGGCCAGGCCCCAUCAAGAUGCAAGGGUUGUGAGAGAAAGAUGGGUGGUGGCCACGGACAGAGUCUACGGACCAGGAAAUCGUGAGAAACACCGUGGACUUCAUGGGGUCUCCCGGUGGAGAAUUCUGAAGAUUGGGAA